UUUCAAACGGACGGUAUACGGACUCGUUAAUAUUUAUUUUGUUUGGUAUUACGUAGGCCGGUGUUCCUCGAAGGAUGCAAAUGUGGUGGGGACGGACGGGAUAUUUAAACGCGGUCGAGUGUCCCGGUUAACCGUCGCCGUUUUUUGUGUGGUAUAAAAACGGUGGCACCGUCUUAUUUUUCUCUCCGUUCAAUGCCUCUCCUCCUUCUCUGACUCGCGUCACUUCGAAUAUACUGAAAUUGUACACCGCGUGUAAAAUUUCUGUGUACAUUCGCGCGACAAAUAAGGCUUGGUUUCAUUUUUAUCACGAAUUUAAUUUAUGCCACUUUUUAUUGUAGAUUAAAGAAAAAGUGUUCGCGAUAUUCUUUUCAUACGAGUAAAUUAUCGUUGUGGAAAUGAUAGAAUCGGUGAAAUUGAUUGGAAGAAAUAUUUUCACAUUUUUAAAUAUAUAAAUUUAGAAUGAAUGAAUCAUUUUGAGCAAAGAAAAGAUGAAUAAUGAUCAUUACUUUCCAUUUUUCAAUGCUAUUCUUUUUCCAUUUAAAAUUUCUUCAAAAACUUUACCGUAUAUCCAAGUUUAUAACUAACGAAAUAAUUGUUUUCCACGUGAUCCAAUUCCAUUCAUUUUAACUAUUCGAUAAUUCAAUCUAUUCAUCAAUUUCAUAUUAUCAUUUAUCAGAUAAGAGAAAUCUUCCCAAAAGAAACCUUUUUCUUUUCCUUUCUGGAAAACAAAAUAGAAGAAAGGAAAAAGAAAAAAGAGAUUUUCAAUUUCACGUUUUGCGUGAGAGACAGAGGGAGAGAGAGUGGGGAUAGAAGCAAAUCCACGGAUUUCUAUUUCUAUUUCGUGGACAAACACGUGAACGCGCGAAAGUAAACUCGAGCGCGGCAAUGUACACAGCGAAUUAUCGCGGAUUCGAUCCCAGAAUUUCGAAUCAUGGCCGAUCGUGGCUCAAUUGGAACGAUUAAUUUCGCCCCUCGCCGUAUAAACAUAACAAAUGGCCGGUCGUUGAUAAAUUCGCGGCGAUAGCACGCGUUCCAUAUGGCUUGCCGCCAUCCUUUCCGUCCGACCAAUUGCCGGUAUCGAUCACUGCACGUGGGAGAGGCCGCGUCUGUCCGACCAGAAACGCUCGUUACUACUGUUUAUCGACUGGCUAAUCACUCGACUCUUACCAAGCGUGUUGUGCCAGAAUGCCCGUUGUGAAAAAGUAACUAGAACUAGGAGGAGCUAUUGAUAUUGAAACGCGUCUUCGACGCGGCAUUAUUAAACGGCGACCUGUUUCACAAUGGGAUUCGUAAUGGGUGUAUUAUUCAUCGGGACAACGGUCGUGCUUCCUUUCCAUUCGAACAAAGAACGUUGAAUUAAAAGUAGCGCUCGUUAUCGAGAUUAAUUAAACGCUUGUUAUUCGCCUCGUCGUGUGUGCGAUGUACGUUGUGCAUGGACGAGCGAUUAGACACACUGUGCGAAAAGGUAGGAGAAUUUUUUGAAGGAAGUUAAUUGCUGACAAAGGACGUCGAGUUGAAAAUAGCAGUCGUUUUUUGUAGAAACGAGAUUAAUUAGACGCUUGUCCCGUGAAUAUUUCGUAAUUCGCGAACGAGAUACGGUGAAAUAUUCCUUUCAGAAACGAGCAUGUUCGUCGUGAAAGUGAAAUUUUAGCUUGAAACUCGAUUAAAAUUAAAGGAAAAAUUUCAACCGCUGUAAUUUCGUAGAUAGCGAUUUCCGGUUGAUAAAUGAUAAAGGCGAUUAGAAGCGGGAAACCUUCCCCUUUAAAAUGCUUUCUCAUUCGUCUUGCUACGACUUCCGGUUCCCGAGAUAUCAUCGUGUAAAGAGAAAGUAAUUUUUAAUCGUUUACCUUACAUUUGAUUAAAUCCUAUCGAAAUUAGGAAAAAUUUGAAUCACUAUAAUUCCGAAGAUAACGACUUCCGGUUGAUAAGUGAAAGACCGUUAGAAGCGCUAAACCUUCCCCUUUAAAAUGCUUUUUCAUUCGUCUCGCUACGACUUCCGGUUCCCGAGAUAUCAUCGUGUAAAGAGAAAGUAAUUUUUAAUCGUUUACCUUACGUUUGAUUAAAUCCUAUCGAAAUUAGGAAAAAUUUGAAUCGCUGUAAUUCCGAAGAUAACGACUUCCGGUUGAUAAGUGAAAGACCGUUAGAAGCGGGAAACCUUCCCCUUUAAAAUGCUUUUUCAUUCGUCUCGCUACGACUUCCGGUUCCCGAGAUAUCAUCGUGUAAAGAGAAAGUAAUUUUUAAUCGUUUACCUUACAUUUGAUUAAAUCCUAUCGAAAUUAGGAAAAAUUUGAAUCGCUAUAAUUCCGGAGGAAAUGACUUUCGGUUGAUAAACGAGAGACCAUUAGAAGGGCUGAAUCUUCCUCUUUAUAAUGCUUUUUCACUCGUUAUGCUACGACUUCCGGUUCCCGAGAUAUCAUCGUGUAAAGAAAAGAUAAAUGGCAGACACGAUUCCAGGAGAAACGCAUGCAAUUCCAAAAAGAAAUAUCGACCAUUGGCGUAAUCUCGCGUGCAUAAUCCCUAGUACAAUUUUAAGCGCUAUGGACACUUUGAGCGCUUAUAUCUCGGCAACCGAUUGAGAUAUUGGGAUGAAUGAAAAAGUGAAUUCAAUAGUGUGAUUUUCCUUUUAAAUUCUCGGUUUUUCAAGUUUUAUCGAUGUUGACCGGAUUAAAUUCAGAGAUGGCUAGAACUGGAGUCGAAGACGUGGAUUUUUCACGCGUGCCAACCUAUGAAUUUAAAAAAAAUGGGAUGAAUUAAAUUGGUGAGAAUUAUAUUGCGUUCCUAACCUCUUCAAAAAAAGAUAUGCAUUUAAUAUCCAAUCAAGUUCGAGAAAUGAGUGUGGAUGGAUACGAGUUUACACGAGGAUAAAUAUUUAAGGAAAAUUCAGAGAAUAGGAAGAGUGUAUUGUCUUGCCACUUGAUUAAUUAUUUUGGCUACGUUACACUCUGGAAUAUAAGUUGAGCAGAGUUUCUGGACAGAAAUUUUUUAAUCGAAAUCAAGUAUUAUGACGAGGAAAGUUGGAAAUAUUUUGUUGGAACAACGAGGAAUAGCCGAAUUUAUUCGAAGAACGAAAUGAAGGGAAAAGAAAUUCCAUUCCAUCCAGUGAUGUUGCGGCAAACAAAUCCUUCGGAUUUAGGCAUAUUUGAAAUUAUUUAGGUUAGUAGGUAAAUCCGUGCGGGGUCGAUAUCGUGUCAGUUUCUCUCUGAGAGUGCGACGAAGAUGGCAUCCAGUGAUUAGAAAUGACUUUGACGCGGAGGGACAGUGAUUAAUCGACGAAUCUGUGUAAUGGAGACAGUUUAUAUAUGGAUCACAGUAAUAAACUCAUAAAUAGCAACAAUUUUUUUCUUUAAUUCCAUCUUUAAUGUAAUUGAUAAAUUGUUUGUGGAUGGAGAGUUAAAAAAUAUAAAAAUUCUUGCUAUUUCUUCAACAUGAAUUAAUUAAUAAUCUAUUUAUAUUUUCAUUUGUGUCAAUUAGAUGGGAAAUGGAACAAUAUUGGAAUAUAUUUAGCGUAGAGAAUUUUAAUGGAUGGAUAAAAUAUGAUGAAGUGAAAAAAAAGAAAAAUAAUAAUCGUUCUGUACAUAGUUUGUAUAAGAUAGAUUAUAGAAUACAUUUCAAAAUUAUGAUUGUUAAAUUAAGAAUUAAAUUACGUGCGUUAUAUAUUAAAUUUAUUAUAGAUAUUGAAUAUAUUCCAAAAUUAUUAUCCAAUUAAAUUAUAAGAGUAUAUAUU
rnacentral:lncRNA from 1 species